ACGUUGAAAUACCGGUUCCCGUAUGAUCAACGAAGUUAGGCCACGUCGAGCCUGGUUAGUACCCAGAUUGGCGACUACUUGGGAGUAACAGGUGCUGUAAGC